rnacentral:rRNA from 1 species
UGGGGAAUAUUGGGCAAUGGGCGAAAGCCUGACCCAGCGACGCCGCGUGGGUGAUGAAGGCCUUCGGGUUGUAAAGCCCUUUCGUGCGGAAAGAACAGCCCUGUAGUUAAUACCUGCAGGGUUUGACGGUACCGCAGGAAGAAGCACCGGCUAACCCCGUGCCAGCAGCCGCGGUAAUACGGAGGGUGCAAGCGUUGUUCGGAUUUAUUGGGGGUAAAGGGCGCGUAGGUGGUUGUGAUAGUCAGAUGUGAAAUCCUUUGGCUUAACUGAAGAGCAGCAUCUGAAACUUCACAAGUCGGGUACAGGAGAGGGAGACGGAAUGCCCGGUGUAGAGGUGAAAUUCGUAGAUAUCGGGAGGAACACCAGUGGCGAAGGCGGUGUCCGGGACUGAUACAGACACUGAGGCGCGAAAGCGUGGGGAGCA